GUGGGGAAUAUUGCACAAUGGGGGAAACCCUGAUGCAGCAACGCCGCGUGAGUGAUGAAGGCCUUCGGGUUGUAAAGCUCUGUCUUUGGGGACGAUAAUGACGGUACCCAAGGAGGAAGCCACGGCUAACUACGUGCCAGCAGCCGCGGUAAUACGUAGGUGGCAAGCGUUGUCCGGAUUUACUGGGCGUAAAGGGAGCGUAGGUGGAUAUUUAAGUGGGAUGUGAAAUCCCCGGGCUUAACCUGGGGGCUGCAUUCCAAACUGGAUAUCUAGAGUGCAGGAGAGGAAAGUAGAAUUCCUAGUGUAGCGGUGAAAUGCGUAGAGAUUAGGAAGAACACCAGUGGCGGAGGCGACUCUCUGGACUGUAACUGACACUGAGGCUCGAAAGCGUGGGGAGCAAACAGGAUUAGAUACCCUUGUAGUCC
rnacentral:rRNA from 1 species